UACGGAGGGUGCAAGCGUUGUCCGGAUUUAUUGGGUUUAAAGGGUGCGUAGGUGGCCUUGUAAGUCCGUGGUGAAAGCCUGCUGCUCAACAGCAGAACUGCCAUGGAUACUGCAGGGCUUGAGUCCAGACGAGGUUGGCGGAAUAGAAGGUGUAGCGGUGAAAUGCAUAGAUACCUUCUAGAACCCCGAUUGCGUAGGCAGCUGACUAGGCUGGUACUGACACUGAGGCACGAAAGCGUGGGGAGCGAACAGG
rnacentral:rRNA from 1 species